AUUGAACGCUGGCGGAAUGCUUUACACAUGCAAGUCGAACGGUAGAGGGGGCAACCCCUUGAGAGUGGUGAACGGGUGAGUAAUGUAUCGGAACGUGCCCAGUCGUGGGGGAUAACGUAGUGAAAAUUACGCUAAUACCGCAUACGAUCUAUGGAUGAAAGCGGGGGAUCGCAAGACCUCGCGCGAUUGGAGCGGCCGAUAUCAGAUUAGGUAGUUGGUGGGGUAAAGGCUCACCAAGCCAACGAUCUGUAGCUGGUCUGAGAGGACGACCAGCCACACUGGAACUGAGACACGGUCCAGACUCCUACGGGGGGCAGCAGUGGGGAAUUUUGGACAAUGGGCGCAAGCCUGAUCCAGCCAUUCCGCGUGCAGGACGAAGGCCUUCGGGUUGUAAACUGCUUUUGUACGGAACGAAAAGGCUCUGGUUAAUACCUGGGGCUCAUGACGGUACCGUAAGAAUAAGCACCGGCUAACUACGUGCCAGCCGCCGCCGUAA
rnacentral:rRNA from 1 species